GUUUUUAGUGGUACUAAUUUUUGUUGAUUUUCAAUGGGUUCAUUUUACAUAUUUGUAUUGCUUUCUAUGGCUAGAUUGCAAGUUGACAGCUGUAUAUGCUAAUUAGCAUUCUUGUAGGGGCACUGAUAAUACUUUUUUAGCUUCUUUUGAGGCAAAAGUUCUGAUGCAGAAGGUUGGAAUAUUAUUCAUGGGACAUCUAUUGGUUAUAGAAAGGUUAGAGUUUGGGGUUGUGAUGCAAAAUGGAAAUG
rnacentral:misc_RNA from 1 species